rnacentral:tRNA from 1 species
UCCAGGGUAGCCUAGUGGACAUGGCAUAUGCCCAGUAAGCGGAACAAUGUGGGUUCGAUUCCCAUCCCUGGAC